UACGGAGGGGGCGAGCGUUAUUCGGAAUUAUUGGGCGUAAAGGGCGCGUAGGCGGCUGUACAAGUCAAAGGUGAAAUCCCUCGGCUCAACUGAGGAACUGCCUUUGAAACUGUACGGCUUGAGGCCGGGAGGGGGUAGCGGAAUUCCCAGUGUAGCGGUGAAAUGCGUAGAUACUGGGAGGAACACCAGUGGCGAAGGCGGCUACCUGGACCGGUCCUGACGCUGAGGCGCGAAAGCGUGGGUAGCAAACAGG
rnacentral:rRNA from 1 species